GACGAACGCUGGCGGCGUGCCUAAUACCUGCAAGUCGAACGCAGUGGGGACGGGUGAGUAACCCGUGGGUCACCUCCCAUCAGAGGGGAUAACACUUGGAAACAGGUGCUAAACCGAUACUGAUGGAUGGACCCGCGGUGCAUUAGCUAGUUGGUGAGGUAACGGCUCACCAAGGCCACGAUGCAUAGACGACCUGAGAGGGUGAGCGGCAAAACUGGGACUGAGACACGGCCCAGACUCGUACGGGAGGCAGCAGUAGGGAAUAUUCGGCAAUGGACGAAAGUCUGACCGAGCAACGCCGCGUGAGUGAAGAAGGGUUUCGGAUCGUAAAACUCUGUUGUUAGAGAAGCGGUAUCUAACCAGAAAGCCACGGCUAACUACGUGCCAGCCGCCGCGGUAAUAC
rnacentral:rRNA from 1 species